rnacentral:lncRNA from 1 species
AGCAAGCCUCAGCAGAGCUCAAGCAGGCAUCCCAAAGCUGGGAAGACAGACGCUGACACCAACUCGUUGGUGGGGAAUUGAACCUGUGGCUUCAGAUACGAUGAGUAAGUUCUCUAUACCCCCAGUUCAGCAUUGUUUUUAUUUUUGUUGAAGUAAAACACAUGUACCACAAAAUGAAAAACUUCAAAAAAAUCAACCAUUUUAAAAUAACAAUGCAGAGCUAUUUGGUAUAUUCACAGUGUUACAGAACUAUCAUUUCUAACUACAAAUAUGUGAUCACUCUUUGAGACCCCUGGCCUGUAAACAUUCAAUCCUUUGACCUUCCCCACCAGCCCUUUGCAACCAUUGACCUGAGAUCCCAAUGGACUGAUCCAUUGUACAUAUUUUGUAAAAACGGAAUCAUUUAUUAACUUCUGCAUCUGACUUCUUUAGCCUAACCUAAUCUUUUCAUUUUUAAAAAGAAUUAUUUAUUUAAUUUUAUGAGUACGCUGUUGCUGUCUUCAAACACACCAGAAGAGGGCAUCAAAUCCCAUCACAGAUGGUUGUGAGCCACCAUGUGAUUGCUGAGAAUUGAACUCAGGACCUCUGGAAGAGCAGUCAGUGCUCUUACCGGCUGAGCCAUCUCCCCAGCCCACCUUUUCAUAUUCCACCUGUAUCACAAUGUCAUUCCUUCUUAUGGUCCAUUAUUUUAUAGAUGCACAUACCACAGUUAUUUAUCCACCCAUCCAUUGAGAGCCAUGUGUUUCCACCUGUUGAUAUUUGGGCUAUUGUCAACAGUGUUGCCGUGAAAAUGUGUAUAUGACUGUGUGGGGCUUGACAUUUUGGGGGUCUGGUGUGCUGGAGUUCACUGUAUAGCUGAUGAUAACCUGAAUCCUGAUCCUCCUGCCUUCAGCUCCCAGGUGCUGGGACUACACUACAUGCAGCACAGCUCGUGUGUGUGUGCACCUGGGGACAAACUGCUGGGCCAACAGUUUCCUAUGGUGGUCAGAAUGUGUUACAUUUUUACUAAUUGGUUUUAUUUACAUCUCAUCAUUACUUUUAUUUUAUUACUAUCUUUUAUUUUAUUUUGUGAGAGAUGAGGUCUCACUCUGUUGCCUGGGGCUGACUGAAUUCCAGGGCUCAAGUGAUCCUUCUGUCUCGGUCUCUCUGGUAGCAGGGAUUUCAGGCACGUGCCACUAUGGCAGCCCUAUUUUUGAUUUUUUAAAUUUUACUUAUUUAUUGGUUUUUGAAACAGGGUCUCUCUAUGUAGUCCUGGUUGUCCUGGAACUUGCUCAGUAGACCAGGCUGGCCUUCAACUCAAAUAUUCCUACCUCUGCUGACCUUGAACUUCCUGCAAUCCUUCUGCGCCUGCCUCCCCUCCCAGAUAACAGUUACAGGUCUGUGCCACCAUGCCCAGUAUCCAGGUUGUUUUUUUAAAAACUAUAGCCCUCCUAGUGAGCAUGAAGCAAUAUUUUGUCAUGUUUUUAUUAUUACUGUGUGUGUGCAUGACAGACUGUACCUGUACACAGAGCAUGUGUGGAGGUCAGAGGGCAACUUUGUGGAGUCUGUUCUCUCCUAGGUUUAUAUCAGUCCUGGGGAUGAAACGCAGGUCACCGAGACGGUGUGGAAAGCAUGUUUAACCACUGAGCCAUCUCAGUAUCUCCAUUGUGCAUUUCCUUAAUGACCAUUGGUUCUGAAUGGUUUUCCUUGUGCAGAUUGGCCAUUUGUUCGUGUGUGUGUGUGUGUGUGUCUCUGUGUGUGUAUAAUUUUGAGACGUGUUUGAGUUUAGGGUUUUGUUCUGUUGCUGGGGCUUCUUUGUGUUAUCUUUUUUGUGUUUUGUGGCAGGGUCUCACUUACUAUGCAGCCCAAGCUGGCUGGAACUCAGCAUCCUCCUUGUCAGCCUCCUGUGACCUAGGAUGCACAUGUGCCCACACACUCCCCCUUGUCCUGGCACUGAGUGCUCCGUGCUGUGCUAGGAUGCGUGUGCCCACAUGUUGGGAACAAAUAAAGGGAGGCCCAGGGGGGGCCCUGGGGAAGUGGGGAAAGGGAAAAGAGGCUCACGUCCCACCAGAGUUUCCCUAUUCUCUGGUCAGUCAGGCAUGGGAGGGCUGCUACCUAUCCUAUCCACUCAUCCCUGGGUGGCAUUACUCUAUCCCACUCUUCAGGGGGUAGCCAAGGGGCAGCCCUGCCUGGGGACCCCGGAGCUACUUUGCUAAAGCCACCAGGGUUAUAGGAGAGAGGGAUAAGGGAAGAGGUUCCCAACACUGGUGAGAGUGGCGUAGUGAAUCUAGAAGGAGCAGAGACUCUGGUUUAAGAGCUUUAUUAUAGAAAUGCAGGUAGAAAGAGAGAAGGUAGAAAGAGAAAGAGAGAGGGGGAAGAGGAAAAGGC